AAUGGUCUCACAGGGCUAAAAAGGAUUUAACUUCCACUGUCUGGCAAGGUCGAGCGUUUUCACAGACCUACUCUUCAAGAAAGAAGGCCUGGUCAAUAUCUUUAAAUUCUUUUCCUUUGAUUUAUAAUCACAAACCAGGAAAGGCUUUCAUACUUGAACUUCACUUCAAGAAGUGACUCGAAGUGAGCUAUACUGGUAAUAAGCGGCGGAUCUGCACAGCAGAUCAAAUAAACAUUAAGAAGACCUCACCGUUGGAGGCCCAAGGACAGAACCUUGUAGCAUAGUGUAUGCCAGUGCCCAAACAUCGAUGUUUAAGAUAUCGUAUGCGUCCACUGCCGUACACUUUCUCUCUAUGUUCUCUAAAGGUUUCCCUAGGAAGCUUGUUCCCGGAUGCUUAAUGACGACUAGAACUUGGCCCGGCAAUACAAAGGUGGUCUCCCCCACGGCAACCUGUCAAGGAACUGCUGAAUCUUGUUUUGCCUGCGCAUUGUGGUGUGACUCAGAAAGCUCAGAAACCCUGUCCAUUUCAAUGCCUCAUCACUGGAUAUUUUCCCCAGAGCUUUGCCCCCUAAGCCUUGUUCUCUCUGUCAAUCCGCCAGCGCUUCGCAUAGCAGGCAGCA
rnacentral:lncRNA from 1 species